rnacentral:rRNA from 1 species
UGGGGAAUAUUGCACAAUGGGCGCAAGCCUGAUGCAGCCAUGCCGCGUGUGUGAAGAAGGCCUUCGGGUUGUAAAGCACUUUCAGCGAGGAGGAAGGUGGUGAACUUAAUACGUUCAUCAAUUGACGUUACUCGCAGAAGAAGCACCGGCUAACUCCGUGCCAGCAGCCGCGGUAAUACGGAGGGUGCAAGCGUUAAUCGGAAUUACUGGGCGUAAAGCGCACGCAGGCGGUUUGUUAAGUCAGAUGUGAAAUCCCCGGGCUCAACCUGGGAACUGCAUUUGAAACUGGCAAGCUAGAGUCUCGUAGAGGGGGGUAGAAUUCCAGGUGUAGCGGUGAAAUGCGUAGAGAUCUGGAGGAAUACCGGUGGCGAAGGCGGCCCCCUGGACGAAGACUGACGCUCAGGUGCGAAAGCGUGGGGCAGCAAACAGGAUUAGAUACCCUGGUAGGUCCACGCUGUAAACGAUGUCGAUUUGGAGGUUGUG